GACGAACGCUGGCGGCGUGCUUAACACAUGCAAGUCGAGCGGAAAGGCCCUUCGGGGUCCUCGAGCGGCGAACGGGUGAGUAACACGUGGGUAACCUGCCCCAGACUUUGGGAUAACCCUCGGAAACGGGGGCUAAUACCGGAUACGACACAGCUUCGCAUGGGGUCUGUGUGGAAAGUUUUUCGGUUUGGGAUGGGCUCGCGGCCUAUCAGCUUGUUGGUGGGGUGAUGGCCUACCAAGGCGACGACGGGUAGCCGGCCUGAGAGGGCGACCGGCCACACUGGGACUGAGACACGGCCCAGACUCCUACGGGAGGCAGCAGUGGGGAAUAUUGCACAAUGGGAGGAAGCCUGAUGCAGCGACGCCGCGUGAGGGAUGACGGCCUUCGGGUUGUAAACCUCUUUCAGCAGGGACGAAGCGUAAGUGACGGUACCUGCAGAAGAAGCGCCGGCCAACUACGUG
rnacentral:rRNA from 1 species